UACGUAGGGGGCUAGCGUUGUCCGGAAUCAUUGGGCGUAAAGCGCGUGUAGGCGGUCCGGUAAGUCCGCUGUGAAAGUCGGGGGCUCAACCCUCGGAUGCCGGUGGAUACUGUCAGGCUCGAGUCCGGAAGAGGAGUGUGGAAUUCCUGGUGUAGCGGUGAAAUGCGCAGAUAUCAGGAGGAACACCAAUGGCGAAGGCAGCACUCUGGGACGUGACUGACGCUGAGACGCGAAAGCGUGGGGAGCAAACAGG
rnacentral:rRNA from 1 species